rnacentral:sRNA from 1 species
UCACGAGGUGGGCCCCCGAGGCGGCGCU